GCUGCGCGCGAGCUGCUGGCUCUGCCCGCUGCUUCUGUGCGUUUUGGUAGCAAGGCCCCACUCCCCAAGGAAGGGGUGCGCCUAGACAUGUGAGAGAGUGACGCCCUUGGUGAGGAUUAUAGUCACAAUAAUGACACAUUCGCCAGCUCUGUAAGAGGUGUGCUUCCCACCCGGGCUCCCAUGAGGUAUUGGCAUAUCCUAGGCUGAAAGAAGUGACAGGAGCCUUUUCUUCAAGCUACUGGUCAACCUUUUCUUCAGUGGAGUUCCUGUGCACAGUGCAGACUCCUGGCUUCAGAGAGCUUUCCAUCUCAUUUCAAGCAGAAUGCAAGAAUACAAAAGAGAUAACACCGAAAUUUGAAUGAGAGACUUCCUCAGCCACAGUGUGCACUUCAGGGACAGAGGACUCCUGGGAAGGGACAGCAUCCAUCUCCCACAGAGCAGAUGAAGCCAGUCAGAAGAAGGGGCUGGAAAAGUUUCUGGACACAAGGUCUACAGGAAGGCAGAGAGACAGCGUAAAGAAGAAUGCUUUAAUGAUUAUAUGAAUUUUCUAAUUGUAAUAAAGUUCUUUGUCCAG